CUGGAGGCAUAAAUGACCUGUAUCAAGUCAUCAUCCAAGAAAUGAUUCAGUUGGCUUUCCCUAAUGUAGAAGCAAUAUUGCGGCUCUUUUUGAGUCUAA